GGGGCUGUAGCUCAGUGGCAGAGCACUUGCCUAGCAUGCAUGAGACACUGGGUUCAAUCUCAACACCA
rnacentral:tRNA from 1 species